AACGAACGCUGGCGGCGCGUCUUAAGCAUGCAAGUCGGACGGCAAGAGAGGUGCUUGCACUUCUCCUAGAGUGGCGGACUGGUGAGUAACAGGUGGGUGACAUACCCUCAGAUGGGGAUAGCCGGUAGAAAUACCGGGUAAUACCGAAUACGCUCCUGUAUCUUAGAAGUACAGGAGGAAAGGAGCUACGGCUUCGCUGUUGGAUUGGCCCGCUUCCCAUUAGCUAGUUGGUGAGGUAAAGGCCCACCAAGGCUAUGAUGGGUAUCCGGCCUGAGAGGGUGAUCGGACACAUUGGGACUGAGAUACGGCCCAGACUCCUACGGGAGGCAGCAGCUAAGAAUAUUCCGCAAUGGACGAAAGUCUGACGGAGCGACGCCGCGUGGAUGAUGAAGGCCGGAAAAGGUUGUAAAAUCCUUUAGCAAGUGAGGAAUAAGCAGAGCAGGGAAUGGCUCUGUGGUGACUGUAGCUUGAGAAUAAGCAUCGGCUAAUUACGUGCCAGCCGCCGC
rnacentral:rRNA from 1 species